AUAGUUCCGUCUUGCUGGAUUAAUAGAGAGCAAAAUGACUGUAUUUGGCCAUGUCAAAUCUCAAUAUACCUUGGACAAAUUAAUAACAAAAGCAAUGAUUGCACCAGAGACUGCUACAUGGGACAUUUGCAAAAUAAAGAGAAUUUUCGGCUCGGCAGAUACUUGGGAACGAGCCCAGGAGAAGUUAGUGGAUGCAGCCGAAACAUCAACUAUCACUGAUUCUGAAGAUUUCUCUGAAAACGAAUGGAGAUUGCGCAGGAAGAAACAUAGGAGAGAUAACGCACGCAAAACUUAUAAUAUAUCUUCAGAUGAAGAUAAGGAAAAUAUAUCUGGCCAAAAAGAAUUAAAAGAUGACAGCCACCAUGCGAAGAAGAGAAAAAGCAAUAACAUUAAUAAUCUGUCUCAAAUACCAUUACUACCCAAGCCACCUUCAUAUUUAUUGCAACCACCUAUUUCAAAUUGUUCACCCAAAGCAUCAACAUCAAAAAUAAACGAAGCGCAAACCAUAAGUGACACAAUUCUGUCUCAUACAUUAGACGAGACUAUUCAUACAUCUCCCAAAGAAGGAAUACUUUCUGAGAAUAUCACUCAUGAUCCAUCUGUCAGUGAGUUCAAGAACUUUAUGGUUAAAAGCAUGGCAAUACUAUUAAGGAGAACACAAACUAUAGAAAAUAGAUUACAAAUAUUUGAAAGUCGACAAAAACAAGCAGACAAAAAUAAUAACGAAGAGGAAGUUGCCAUUCCCAUUUGUACUGAAGAACAAUUAUUGGAGUUUGAAACACAAUUACAAAAUGCCGUAUUCUUUAAGAAAAUGAGUUUCUCUUUAAAAUAUGUUGGUGGAGACAAAGUAAGCUCAGCAACAAAUGGAGUUUUUAGCAAGUUAAUUGCUGACGCACUUGCUACAAAAUACAGUUGGCAAGGAAAAAAAGGAAAAAAGCCUUUACUGCACUACGGACAUCUAAAUUAAUUAUAAAAACUGUACAUAUGAUAUGUCCGACACAAUACAGUGACGCGCAAAUAAUAGAAGCUGCUUCAACAUGGCUUGCUCAAGCAACAACGCGGUUGAAACGUGCUGAGGCGAAACAUUCACGACAACCAAUUGAAAAUGAUUUCGAACAUUCGCGAGAUGGAAGCGAUGGUGAUAGGGAGAUUCAUAACUAAAUUUUACUAUUUGUUUAAAAUCUAGCAUAAUGUGAUACCGUUAUGUAAUACGCUUCCAUAUUUUUUUAAACAUUAUAUAAUAUUUGUUUUGUUUCUAACGUCAUAUAAUUAUAUGAUUGUUUUUAUUUUACACGUUAUAUAAUAUAAUUGUUUUUAUUUUACACAUUAUACAGAGUGUCCCAAAGUUUGCGACUUAAAAUACUAUAGUGAGGAAGUGCUUAAAAAAUUAAAUAAAAAGUUUAUUUGUAAAUUUUUAUUUUAAACAAUAAAUUUUAAGAUAUAAAAAUUGUAA